GCUGCGUGUGAUGAGGCUUAAGCGACCAAAGUCUGAGUGGUUGUGAUUGUAGCCACAAGAAGCUGAUGCACC